GACGAACGCUGGCGGCGUGCUUAACACAUGCAAGUCGAACGGUGAAGCUCCAGCUUGCUGGAGUGGAUCAGUGGCGAACGGGUGAGUAACACGUGAGCAACCUGCCCCAGACUCUGGAAUAAGCGCUGGAAACGGCGUCUAAUACUGGAUACGAGAUCAAGCCGCAUGGUUAUGGUCUGGAAAGUUCUUCGGUUUGGGAUGGGCUCGCGGCCUAUCAGCUUGUUGGUGAGGUAAUGGCUCACCAAGGCUACGACGGGUAGCCGGCCUGAGAGGGCGACCGGCCACACUGGGACUGAGACACGGCCCAGACUCCUACGGGAGGCAGCAGUGGGGAAUAUUGCACAAUGGGCGAAAGCCUGAUGCAGCGACGCCGCGUGAGGGAUGACGGCCUUCGGGUUGUAAACCUCUUUCAGCAGGGAAGAAGCGAAAGUGACGGUACCUGCAGAAGAAGCACCGGCUAACUACGUG
rnacentral:rRNA from 1 species